rnacentral:pre_miRNA from 1 species
AUGUGGGGUAAUCUGUCUUUAAGUAGCGAUAAAUAACUCUAAAACAAAAAAGAAUCCUAGAUAGUUUUCCCUUCAAGUCAAGUGUCUUGU